rnacentral:rRNA from 1 species
ACUUAAGCAUAUCAAUAAGCGGAGGAAAAGAAACCAACAGGGAUUGCCCUAGUAACGGCGAGUGAAGCGGCAACAGCUCAAAUUUGAAAUCUGGCUCUCGGGCCCGAGUUGUAAUUUGUAGAGGAUGCUUUUGAUGCGGUGCCUUCCGAGUUCCCUGGAACGGGACGCCAUAGAGGGUGAGAGCCCCGUCUGGUUGGAUGCCAAAUCUCUGUAAAGCUCCUUCGACGAGUCGAGUAGUUUGGGAAUGCUGCUCUAAAUGGGAGGUAUAUGUCUUCUAAAGCUAAAUACCGGCCAGAGACCGAUAGCGCACAAGUAGAGUGAUCGAAAGAUGAAAAGCACUUUGAAAAGAGAGUUAAAAAGUACGUGAAAUUGUUGAAAGGGAAGCGUUUAUGACCAGACUUGGGCUUGGUUAAUCAUCUGGGGUUCUCCCCAGUGCACUUUUCCAGUCCAGGCCAGCAUCAGUUUUCGCCGGGGGAUAAAGGCUUCGGGAAUGUGGCUCCCUCCGGGGAGUGUUAUAGCCCGUUGCGUAAUACCCUGGCGGGGACUGAGGUUCGCGCAUCUGCAAGGAUGCUGGCGUAAUGGUCAUCAACGACCCGUCUUGAAACACGGACCAAGGAGUCGUCUUCGUAUGCGAGUGUUCGGGUGUCAAACCCCUACGCGUAAUGAAAGUGAACGCAGGUGAGAGCUUCGGCGCAUCAUCGACCGAUCCUGAUGUUCUCGGAUGGAUUUGAGUAAGAGCAUACGGGGCCGGACCCGAAAGAAGGUGAACUAUGCCUGUGUAGGGUGAAGCCAGAGGAAACUCUGGUGGAGGCUCGCAGCGGUUCUGACGUGCAAAUCGAUCGUCAAACAUGGGCAUGGGGGCGAAAGACUAAUCGA